AUGACGAUGGUGGAGUUAAUGCGCAUGACCAAGGCCGAGCUCCAGGAGCUUCACAUUGCCUGCGUCAAAGGCUUCACCGAGUUGGAUCCCAGGAAGAAUCUUUGGGUCCACACCCGCUUCUGCAGCUUCAAUAUAGGGGACUUCGACCUCGAUAGAGAGUCUAAGUUUGGCCUUGGGCCGCCGCUUUAUGACAAUCUAACUCCCAAGUUGGACAGGUGCAUGGUGUCGUUUGCUGUCAAUGUCAUUUCCGUCAAAGUAACCGAAUCCGACCGGGGUUAUCCAAUCAGCGUAUAUGGCACUGUUGUUGCAAGGGAUACGAUUGACUACAGAUGUGUCUAUCUCUUCAGACGUGCAAGGGAAGAUCCCCAGAUCAUCAACUCCAAAGAUGAUAUGCUAACAUUGAUAGGUCCACGGCGAGGAUUAGUUCAGUUAGAUAAUAUUUAUUUUGAGUUGAAUCUGAGGGUGAAGGGUGAUGCUGGCGACGAAGAUUUUAGCAAUGGUGUGGUAGUGCUCCAUGUUGGUCCCUAUGAUCCUGAACCAAUCACAAGGGUGCUGAGCAGUUGGCUAAGCAGAGUGGAGUUGGUGCUUGCAACUGUUGAAAGUCCAGUGGCAGCUAGCCUUGAAGUCAAUGUUUUGAAAGGAGCAGCACCUUUCAGUGGCAAAAUAUGUGCUGGGACUAGUGAAAACCCGAAGACUCAGAUGAUUGUGUAUGAUAGCAGAGAUACAAAGAGCGGCUCCUCUGUUGUGUUAACUCGCAACCUCGUAGCUGUCCCUGCCCCGGAUGACGACGAAGAUGAAAUUGGUGUCAAUGUUCGCUUCCUUGAUGAUGGCGAUGACGUCGAUGAUGAGGAUACAGGCACCUUGGUCAAGCUAGCAUACCCUGCUGAAGAGCAAGUUUGCUGUCACCGCGCCUGGGAGCUGCAAGUGAAGGUUUCCUGGACUGCCAUCCUGUGCAAACCAAUGGCAAAACAUGUCUUAACAAGAGGGACCAGUAUGCCCAGGGAUUAUACUUGCCCUAGGUAUGCGCCUCGGUUCUGA
rnacentral:rRNA from 1 species